UCACCGGCUGUUUUUGCAGCCACAAAGUUUUCGAGACAGCUCAAA
rfam:Cerapachys biroi unplaced genomic scaffold scaffold129, whole genome shotgun sequence.